UACGGGGGGGGCAAGCGUUGUUCGGAAUUACUGGGCGUAAAGGGCUCGUAGGCGGCCAACUAAGUCAGACGUGAAAUCCCUCGGCUUAACCGGGGAACUGCGUCUGAUACUGGAUGGCUCGAGUUUGGGGAGAGGGAUGCGGAAUUCCAGGUGUAGCGGUUGAAAUGCGUAGAUAUCUGGAGGAACACCGGUGGCGAAGGCGGCAUCCUGGACCAACACUGACGCUGAUGAGCGAAAAGCCCAGGGGGAGCAAAACGGGGAUUAGAAAACCCCCAGUAG
rnacentral:rRNA from 1 species